UGGUUCUGGCAUNGAUGAAGAACGCAGCGAAAUGCGAUAAUUAAUGUGAAUUGCAGAAUUUAGUGAAUCAUCGAAUCUUUGAACGCACAUUGCGCCCCUUGGUAUUCCGGGGGGCAUGCCUGUUCGAGCGUCAUUUCAACCCUCAAGCUCAGCUUGGUCUUGGGCCGCGCCGGAAACGGCGGGCCUCAAAAACAGUGGCGGCGCCAUCGUGUUCCUCAGCGUAGUAAUUUGUCUCGCUGUUGGGCCCCGGUGGCAGCUGGCCAGCAACCCCAAAUUUUCUAUGGUUGACCUCGGAUCAGGUAGGGAUACCCGCUGA
rnacentral:misc_RNA from 1 species